AUGUUCUCUGUAGCUGUGCUGCUGCUGCUGGCUGCUGGAUCCUGUGUAAAGUGUGAAACGCUGACUCAGCCAGCCUCUGUGACUGUGCAGCCAGGUCAACGUCUGACCAUCACCUGUCAGGUCUCUUAUUCUCUUAGUGGCUACAACACAGCUUGGAUCAGACAGCCUGCAGGGAAAGGACCGGAGUGGAUUGGAAUGAAACAUACUGGAGGUUCAUACUACAAAGAUUCUCUAAAGAACAAGUUCAGUAUCGACAUAGACUCUUCUAGCAAAACAGUGACUCUAAAUGGACAGAAUGUGCAGCCUGAAGACACUGCUGUGUAUUACUGUGCCAGGGAGGGACACAGUGACACAAAGCAUCAGUAG